CCGCAGCCGGCGGCCAAGAGGCUGCGCGUCGCCUACUGGCCAGGUGGCGUUCCGACGCUCGACAUGGUGCCCUACCUCCACCGGCAGCCGGCCGUCAUGUAGCUGCUCCCGGCUGCGUCGCGGCGGGCGGCGCCACUCUCGGCUGUGCGGCGCCGGUCUCCGGAGUUCGGAGACCUCGCCUCAUGUCGCGGAGAUCUCCGAGGAUCCCGACCAAGGAGCGGGGUGUGGCUGCGAAGCGUCUCGCCGGAGACGCCCGCGCUGUCUCGCUCGAGAACGAGCGACCGUCUCGGGGGAUCUCCGCGACGCGAAUGGGCAUACCGGGGGCCAGGCUCGGCCCGCCGAUAGAAACCAGUCUUCUGUGAUUACUCCCGUGUACUGCGUCUGCAUGUGACGCCGUUGUGGCUUUCAUAAUGUGAUGGUAAGGAGGACGAAGCCGAGUUAGCUUUAAUUCGUUUACCGUUGAUUUGGUGUUUGCGUUGCGUUACUUUUGCCAGGCAGCGUCCCACUGACGCCUAGCCGGCUGGACACCGGACUCGUUUGUUUUCAACCUUGUUAUCUCAUGGUGUAAUGAACGUAUAUCAAUGAGGCGACGUCCUCUGAUAAAUAUAGACCCCGUGUCAUUACUCUGAC